ensembl:lncRNA novel transcript, antisense to ELAVL1
CUGAAAAUAAUUUAAAAAGCUUAAAAGUUACAUAGGCAUCUUCAAAAGAACACAAUGGGAUUCAUUUUAUUGUUGACUUUUGGACACCAGUGUCAGACUUUAUUGAAAACAAACCCAUGUAAAAACAAAGUUAAAAUGAAAAAUGGCACCUGAAAAAUAAAUUAUUUUAUAUAAAACAAAUCAAUAACUUAAAACACACUAAUAUACAAAAGGUCUAACCAUCUACUGUACAACAUGGGAAUCGGUUAAGAGAGCCUCCCCUCCCCCAAAGCAAGUCACUGUAAACGGAACAUCACAUGGUCAUGGUCAAAGAGGUGGCCCCAAACCAACGGAAAAGGCUUCUCUUCUGGUGGAAGAAAAAUCCAGUCCUGUCAAAGUCUCCGUUAGCCUAACUUAGGUACUGGCGGUGGAGGGUGGGGUGGAGGGACAGGAUAGAGGCCUCCUGUCAGCUGAAUUCUUAUUCUCUUUCAUCCAACACAGGAAGGCUGCGAAAAGCACAUGGAAAUAAAAGGGGGCUGAAUCGGAUGU